rnacentral:rRNA from 1 species
AGAGUGAACGCUGGCGGCAGGCCUAACACAUGCAAGUCGAACGGCAGCACGAGAGAGCUUGCUCUCUUGGUGGCGAGUGGCGGACGGGUGAGGAAUACGUCGGAAUCUGCCUUUUGUGGGGGAUAACGUAGGGAAACUUACGCUAAUACCGCAUACGACCUACGGGUGAAAGCGGAGGACCUUCGGGCUUCGCGCAGAAAGAUGAGCCGACGUCGGAUUAGCUAGUUGGAGGGGUAAUGGCCACCAAGGCGACGAU